UACUGACACAUCCCUGUGACACACUCAUCCUCUUCACAUAGCUUUGUCAGGCUGACCAGUAUGACUUGUAUACGUGCGAACACCCAUGUUUUGGUAUGUUAACCUACUGACACAUCCCUGUGACACACUCAUCCCCUUCACAUAGCUUUGUCAGGGUGACCAGUAUGACUUGUAUACGUGCGAACACCCAUGUUUUGGUAUGUUAACCUACUGACACAUCCCUGUGACACACUCAUCCCCUUCACAUAGCUUUGUCAGGGUGACCAGUACAACUUGUAUACAUGGAACACCCAUGUUUUGGUAUGUUAACCUAAUACUGACACA